rnacentral:lncRNA from 1 species
UGGAUACCGAUGGGAAGCUUGUAAAUGAAGAGCCAGCAAAAACAAGCCUUCAAGGAUAUGAUGAAGAAGAAAAAUUUAAAGGGCUUUUUCCAAAAUCUAUUCCUAUAGUUAAGCCUAUCCCAAAGUUAGUUAAACCUAUUCCUAUUCCCGUGUAUAAGCCUAUACCAAAACCAAUUCCCUUGGUGAAGCCUAUUUCAAAGCCAAUUCCAAUUAUAAAGUCAAUUUCUAAUGAAGAAGAAAAAUUUAAAGGACUUCCAAAACCUAUUCCAGUAAUUAAGCCGAUUCCAAAACUAAUUCCUGUUGUAAAACCUAUUCCUGUUCCAAUAUAUAAACCUACACCAAAAUUAAUUCCCAUCAUUAAACCAAUUCCAAUUGUUAAACCUGUACCAAAACCUUUUACAGUGCAAAAACCCAUCCCCGCUAUUGACCCAGAGUCUUUUCUAAAGCCGAAGCCUUUCUUUGAGAAACCUAUUCCUAAAUUGCCACUUGACCCUAAAUUCAAGAAACCACUUCUGCCACCUUUCCCAAUUCAAAAGCCAAUUUCAAGUCCAUAAGAUGAUAAGACUUUACCACCUCUCACUAAAAAAUAUCUUGCUUAGACGAUCUAUUUCUAACUCCUAUUUAUGUGCUCUAUAUCUCAAAAUUAUUAGUUGCACUUGAUAAUCCUAGGGUAUCUCUCUUUAUGUUGGAAUACCUAUAUAGUUAAUGUUAUCUCCUCAAUAAAGUUCUCAAUAUUUGCGGUUGUUAAUCAAUUUUAUAUUAAUACAAUUACAAAGAGUGGGUUGAUUUUCCCUUUUUAAAAUAACAUUUUUUAAUUUUAUUAUAUUUUUGUGAGAUUAUAUUUUGAGCAAGGAUACUCGUAAAUCGUAAUAAACUAAAUAAUCACGAGAAAAAAAUAUGCCUGUGUUAUAAGCUAAAACAAAUGCAUACUCAUUUGUUUCUUAAAAGCAACAUAAUAUAUUGCAAACUAAGUAUAACUUUAAGUUUGGUCAAAUAUUAAAAAAGUAUAACUUGCUAAUAUAUUCAUUCUCGAAUGAGAGUAUAUUAACAGUUUUAAAUACUAUGUAGGGAUUAUAUUCUGACACUAGGUACUUUAACAAAUGACAUUGUUUUAAGCAUUUAACAUUUUAGUGACAUAAAAAAUGUCACCAAAAGAUUUUAGGAACAUUUUUAAAGGUAUGUGUAGUAGUGUAACUACAUGUAUAUUAAUUAAGAAAGGGUGGGAUACACUACAUUAUUUUAGCAUUUAACAAAGUUUUACUCUUGUUAUUAUAAAAAAUAAAAAUAAAAAUAAAAAUAAAAACGUUCUCAUUGAGAACAAUGAUCUCCACGCGGUAAUUUGAAAGUAGGAAUCAGUAACUUGCAAAUAAAAUGACCCCCGAAAGGACACAUUGCUGGCAGAAGGCCAACUCAGUUUUAAAGAGUGUUGUUAUGAAAAAAUAUUGUUGCUGAGAGUGAUGAUCCCGACAUGGUACUUAGAAAGGAGGGAUAGGUAACAUGCACACAAAUACUACCAAUUACAAAUUACAAAUUACGUACUGCACAUUAAACUUGUACCAAAACACUAGAAAUUUCAUAAUAACGACCAAUUCAAUUUUAAGGAGUGUCAUUAUUAUGAAAAAUGUUGUCAUUGAGAGUGGUGGGUUCAGCGCACUACUUAAGAAGGAGGGAUCACUAGCUUGAACAAGAAAGGAUAUUAGAAAUUUCAUAGUACUGGCUGUUAGAUGACCAACUCAAUUUUAAUUAUUGUUGUUAUUUUAAGGGGAGUUCAAAUGGCAGACACAAGAAAAAUAAUAUAUUUAAAUCUCUUUAAUUUAAUAGUUAUUUAAUUUUUAGAAAAUUUCUUUCAAAUAAAAUAUUUAAUGAUGAAAAAAUAAAUACCUCUUAUAUUUUAAUAUAUCGAAUUUAAAAAAUUUUACUAACCAAAAGUAUCCUUAAAAAGAAAUGUGAAUGGACAUGUUUGCAGAAGACACAUUUCAAAUGUUAAAAAAGUAGAAAAAUACAUGGAAAUAGAAUAAAUUUAGAUGUCUUUUACUUAAUAAUUAUUUAAUUUUUACAAAAUUUGUUUCAAAUAAAAUAUUUAAUGAUGAAAAUCGUAAAUAACUUUCAUAUUUUAAUAUAUUAAAUUAAAUCAUUUUAUUUUCCGAAAUUCCUAUUAAAGUAUCAAGAAAAUGCAUUACAGAUGGACAUGUUUAUGUUUGAAGACACCUUUCAAACCUUAAAAAUAAUAUGGAAAUACUAAGUACAUUCAAGUUAAUAAUUUUUUUACAACACAAAGGUCUUGAACAUAAAAUACCUGUUUAGCUUGUUCUGUCAUGAUGAAAGGGUCAUUCUGGUAAGCUAGUUUCUUUAGGUCUAUCAACGUAAAUCCUACAUCAUCGAUCCGCACACCGGUGUUUACAGAUGGACAUGUUUAUGUUUGAAGACACCUUUCAAACUUUAAAAAUAAUAUGGAAAUACUAAGUACAUUCAAGUUAAUAAUUUUUUUACAACACAAAGGUCUUGAACAUAAAAUACCUGUUUAGCUUGUUCUGUCAUGAUGAAAGGGUUAUUCUGGUAAGCUAGUUUCUUUAGGUCUAUCAACGUAAAUCCUACAUCAUCGAUCCGCACACCGGUGUUGCUGUCAAUCCAUUUAGAUUUGAAAACACAAACAAUAAAUUUGACAUAGUUAAGCUCCCAAAUUUCAUCAAUGAACCCAAAAUAAGGGAUGGAAGCUACACAGGGAUUAUCAUCAUGUACACUAGCAAAGUGUUGAGAUUCAACCCUUAGGGUGACCCCACUGUUUUGCAUUGUACUUUUCUCAUCUUGUGCUUUUGUAUAAAAGGAAUACUUGUUUAUGUCGUAUCCUUGCCAAGUUAUAACAUUUCUUUUAGGCCCAUGUGCUAGCUUUCUUAAUGUUUCAGAAGCAUUUUCAUCAGCAAAGAUUGUAUCUUUAAACCAAUCAAAGAAAGUCUUGUUAUGCUUUUUCAAGACCCAAUUCUUUGACAUUUUUGGAUUACUUUGUUUGACUAAACCUUCAUGCUGAAGUAUGUAUGGCAAAACUUCAUUACUGUUAUUCAAGACAUACAAGUGAGCUUGUAACAAAUCUUCUACACUUGGAGUGAUAACAUGCAGUCCUCUUGAAUCCUUACUGCCCACUCUGUCAUCAUGCCGAGACUCGGGAAGCCCAACAAGUUUAGCCUUUUCAAUGUACUCUGAACAAAAUUCAAUGGCUUCUUCUGCAAUGUACCUUUCAACAAUAGAUGCUUCGGGACGAUGUAGAUUCUUCAUAUACCCUUUUAAGAUCUUCAUGUAUCGCUCAACCGAGUACAUCCACCGCAAAUAAAUAGGACCACAACAUUUGAUUUCUCUAAUCAGAUGAACAAUUAAGUGAACCAUGAUGUCAAAGAAAGCAGGAGGAAAAUACAUCCAACUAGCAUAGUAUAAUUGUAGCCUCAUUUUCCAGGUCAUCAAACUUGACAUGAUCAAGGACUUUGCUACAUAUGGCAUUGAAAAAAAAAGCACAGGCAAGUUAUGACUAACCUGACUUUGUUAGGCAAAAUUUCUUGUAUGGCCACGGCUAACAAUUGUUGCAUCAAGACGUGACAAUCGUGAGACUUUAACCCUACCAGCUUAAGCUCCUUCAACUGCACAAGGCUCUUCAUAUUUGAAGAGUAUCCUUGUGGGACUUUGACCCGCCACAGACACUGAUAAAAACUUAUCUUCUCCUUUUUCAACAAAGUAUGACAAGCUGGAGGCAAGUAUAAUUUUUUCCCAUCAGACCUUGGAUGCAACUGCGAUCGUAUGCCCAACUCAGCUAGAUCUUGACGGGUAUUCAAGCCAUCUUUCGUCUUGCCUUGAAUGUUAAAGAGCGUCCCAAUGACACUAUCACAUACAUUUUUCUUCAUAUGCAUAACAUCAAUACAAUGUCUAAUGUCAAGGUCAGACCAGUAUGGAAGAUCAAAGAAAUAGACCUCUUCUUCCAUAUGCAAGUCUUACUUUUUUCCUUCUUUUGGGUCUUUCCAAAUAUAGUAUUCAAGUGUUGAAUCCGCUAGAAGUCCUGCUCACCAGUCAACGGUAUCAGCACAGUUUCGUGUUCUUGACUUCCAUUAAAUGCUUUUUUCAAUCGCCUGUAAGGAUGAUGAGGUUUUAAAAAAUGUUGAUGCCUAGUGUACACUAUUUUUUUUACCAUGUUUCAGUUAUAUGUAGCUUGUGUCUUCUUCACAGAUGGGGCAUGCAUGAUGACCCUUAACACUGUAACCACUUAUAUUUCCAUAUGCUUGAAAGUCAUUAAUGUUACAAAAAAGCAUUGCACGCAUUUGAAAAGUCUCAUUUUGAAACCCAUCAAACACUAAACCCCCCUCAUCCCACAACUUUGUCAGGUCUUCAAUCAAUGGACUUAGAUAAACAUCAAUGUCAUUUCUUGGCUGUCUUGGGCCCGAUAUCAUCAUAGACAACAUCAUGUAUUUUUGCUUCAUGCACAACCAAGGAGGAAAAUUAUAAAUUACUAGUAGAAUUGGCCAUGAACUGUGUUGAGUGCUUAAAUUACCAUAUGGAUUCAUUCCAUCACUGCCUAGUCUAAGCCUAAGAUUUCUUGCCUCUUGCCGAAAUCCAAAAACAAAUGAUCUAUCUUCUUCCACUGCGAGCAAUCAGCCGGAUGACGGACCAUUCCAUCGCAUUUUCUCCCUAUUGCAUGUCAUGUAAGGUCUUUAGCGUCGUCUCCAUUAGCAAAAAGAUGCUUAAACCUUAGAACAAUCGGCAGAUACCACAACACCUUCAUUGGGGGGCCCUUCUUUGAGUUUUCAUCACUACUACACUUCUCAUCAUUCUUCACUUUGUACCAUCAUAACCCACACCUAGGGCAUUUGGACAUUUCUUCAAAUUUAUGUUUGUACAGUAUGCAAUCAUUCGGGCAAGCAUGAAUCUUCUAAUACUCCAUACCCAUAGGACACAGUACCUUUUUUGCCUGAUAGUAACUUUUAGGCUACGUGUUUUCCUCUGGAAGCAUAUCGUGCACUACUUGAACCAGUGAAAUAAAGCUUUUGUCACUCCACCCAUAUCUGGACUUGACAUUAACUAGACUUAACACCGUAGACAAUAGUGUCAACGAAUUCUUGCACCCCGGAUACAAAGGCUUCUUUGAAUCAGUUUGCAAUGUAUCAUACAUAGGGGCAUGUGUUUGUUAAAAAGACUCUUGUCCAAGGUCACGAAUCAUAUCCUCCAAGCCAUCUCCCAUUUCUACAUCAAACGGUUCAGAUUGGGGCCCACUUUAGUUGUCUGUCAUUCCACCAUGCCAUAUCCACGUUGUAUAAUUCCUCUUGAUUCCAUUACACAACAGAUGGUCUCGUAUGUCAUCAACUUUUUGCCAUCUCCCGUUCAAACAAUUUAUGCAUGGACAAAAAAACUUGUCAUUUUCAUCUAGUCGACUUCUUUCUGAAGCAAAUUGCAGGAACUGUUCAACGCCUUCCUCAUAUGCAGAGCUCAAUCGGCUUUCAUUCAUCCAACUUCGAUCCAUCUAAAUAAUAACUGAUUCAUACUCUGAAACUCAUUCAAUGCAUGAUAUCUCACUUUUUCAUUUAAGGUGUGGCCCUAUCCCAUUCAGGAAGACACAUUUUUAUGGUAGAUUCAGGCGUUAAGAUUAAUCUUAUUUUGUUAAAUUUGAUAAAAUUUUGACAGCAUUUCACAUUGGUCUCCAAGUACACGAUACAAAAUCGGUGACAUUAAUUUGUCGAUAAUCAUGUAUGCACUUAGAGAACAACUAGAGAUGCAUUGUACCAUAAUUUCAUCAAAUUAAACAAAAUAAUGUUAACCUUAACACAUGAAUCAACCAUAAAAAUGGGAGUCUCCCCAAACUGUCCAAACGGACAAUUUAAGAUUGAAUACAAUGAUUAAUGCACACUUUCUGCAAGAAUCAUUGUAUUCAAUCUCAAAUGGGAAUCUAAGGCUAACUCAUUAUGAAAAAAAGUUUAAUCUAAAGCAAAGCACAUUAAUGACAUACAAUUUAAAUACAGUGACAUCUAACACAACACAAUAGAUCGGUAAGAACCCUAACCAAACAAGAAAGCAAUGGACGCUAAGUUAGAGCAACAGACGGUGGAGGUAUCCACUCUCGUCACACGUGCCGCUCAUGAUAAGUCCUCUGAUUCGUUAGCAUCGCUAACGAAACCAACGAGUUAUCAUGAGCAACGGGUGUGACGAGAGUGGAUACCUCCACCGUCUGUUGCCCUAACUCGGCAGCCAUUACUUUCUUAUUUGGUUAUGGUUCUUACCGAUCUAUUGUGUUGUCUUAUAUCUGAAAAGAGAAACUAGCUAACUAAUCGAAACCAGCGGUAUAUAUAUAUAUAUAUAUAUAUAUAUAUAUAUACAUACAUACAAGUCCGUACGUACGUACCUAGAAUUGCUAUAAUCAAAGACCUUCCAGAGCAACACGAAUUACCAGUAGCAAAUGAUAACCUGGCAAAAUGUGAAACAAAAUUUAAUGAUUUAUAUUACAAAUUGCCAAGUAGUUAGUUAUUUACCAAGUACAUUACAUCUAGUAGCUUCUAUUUCUAUUCUUUGGUAAUUUACUCUCCUUGCCAAUUUUCCUUCUAUUUACUAAACUUAAUAUUUAUUAGUUUAUUCCUUCUUAAUCUAGUUUUUUUUCAUCGGCCAGUUGACUCACUAAGUAACCCACUAUUUGGUUCAUUGUCACCUAACUAACUAACAGACCUAUGAAACAGCCUCUUAAGUUGCAGCGCCGGGGGCAAUGCUACUAUUUCAUUGCCAGGGGCAUCAAUUGAGUGAUUUGGGUGGUAGGGAGUGAUGUAGCUCCGUUGGAGCUUGUAGGCCUUGGAUCUUCUUCAUCAAUGAAGUCCUUUGCUUCUUAAAUUUUAAUGGCAGCGGAAUGGAGAAGAAGAGGAGUUGAGAGGAGACACCACUUAAAGGAGAAUAUGAGUCAAGAAGAAGCUCACCACCAUAGGAAGCCAUGAAUAAGAGCUUGGAGGUAGGAGAAGAAGAAUGGAGGGAGAAGAAGAGAGAGAUCACGAAAUUUGUGCCUCAAAAGAGGUCUGAACUUUGAAGUGUAAUUCUCAAAUGAUCAAAGUUAAAAAAUGCACACACAUGGCCUCUAUUUAUAACCUAAGUGUCACAUAAAAUUGGAGGGAAAUUUGAAUUUCUAUUUAAAUUUUACUUGAAUUUGAAAUUGAAUUUGUGGAGCCAAAAUUUCACUAAUUAUGAUUAGUAAAUUUUAGUCUUGGUUCAGCCCACUAAUCCAAGAUCAAGUCCAAGAUUCUCCACUAAGUGUGCUUAGGUGUCAUGAGACAUGUAAAGCAUGAAGGACAUGCACAAGUGUGACUAUACGAUGUGGAAAUGAGGUGUAGCAAGUAAAUGUUCACCUCCCCCUCUAAAAUUUAAUUGGAUUAGGCUUCUCCCAAUUCAAUUAAAUUUAUUUACCAACACACACAUCAAAUAUUCACUCAAUGCAUGUGAAAUUACAAAACUACUCCUAAUACAAAAACUAGUCUAGCUGCCCUAAAAUACAAGGGCUGAAAAAUCCUACAUUUCAAGGGUACCCUACCUACAUUAUGGAGCCCUAAAUACAAGGUCCAAAAAUAAUGAAACCUUAAUCUAAUAUGUACAAAGAUAAGUGGGCUCAUACUUAGCCCAUGGGCCCGAAAUCUAUCCUAAGGCUCAUGAGAAUCCUAGGGUCUUCUCUUGCAUCUCUGGCCCAAUCUACUAGGAGUCUUCUAUCCAAUGCCUUUGCGGGGUAGGAUUGCAUCAGGGAGGUUGCAGCCCCAGGGACAGUGCUACUGAUUCUUGUCAAACCAUAAGGGGCAUGAUUAUGCUUGGUUUUUGCUUGUUGGGUAUAUCUAAAUAAAAUAAUAUAUAACAAAAUUCUCAUCAAGCCAUGUAGUAAUUGCUACUGAAUUGUAGAAUUGAGCAGCUCAAAACAGUGUUGAUUCUUCUUCCCCAACCUUGGAGGAUAAUGAAAUCUUUCAUUCUGAUAAGCAAUAUCAUGUAGAAGAAGAAUCAAUGGCAGAAGGUUCAAAAGAUCAAGUUUUAUUGAGUAGCAAUUCAUAUUGUUUUGGUGGGUCAGAUAAUGGUAUGAAAGGCAAUGUUCUAAAAAAUGAAACAUUGAAGAAUAUGAGGUCUGUAAGAGAGCAAUAGAAAAUGAAGUGAACCUCCUGAAUUUAGAGAGCACCGAUUUAGAUAAAGGGUCCUAUGAGCAGAGACCAUCAUCAUUUGCCCCCAAAGCCUAUGAGAUGGAAGGCUCUUGCAGCUCUAAGAUUAACAACACCAAAAACGACAGCAACUUGAUGUCCAAUUGUUCCAACAAAGACAUGCUCCUAGACAGCUACACCACUAGUUGGCAACCCUGAGAUUUGAUGUGAAAUUACCCUCUUAAUAUCAAAAACAGAAUGAAGAGAAAGAAUAGAAAAGUGUUGUGUGCUGUAAGGGAGAGGAAAGGUAUUGCAAAUUUGUCAACUGAGUGGGAGAAGAAAGGUGUCUCUUGAAGAUAAGAGAAGGCAAAAAAAACCUCAUGAAAUGAAGGUUUUCUAUGCACUGGAUAAUGCAAUAGAACCCACAAAAUUGCGAGCCUUCAACUUUCAGAAAAAUGACAAUCUCACAAGCAAGCUAGUUUGUUCUUCAACCCUCUGGUAUAAUCCCACUCUGCAGCAAUCCUACACUGAUACUACCUAAUGUACAAUUGUAAAUGCUCGAGCUAGUUAGUAAAAAUACUAAUAGCAUCAUAGCAACACAUAAAUACCACUAUCCUUGUUACGGGUGAAAAGAUUUUAAAAUUUUCAUCAUAAUAUCAAAUACACGUGUAUGGAUUGCUUUAGUACAGAUAUUUGAACUUACAAAAUUAUAAAUUGAUUCCUACAUUUUUCUUGGUAAACCAGACUCAGGCCAAUUGAGAUAUUCUGGGAAUUGAAGUUGCUUAAUCAAGGUCUGGAAUUACUAUUUCCCAAUAAACUAUGCUCUUGGUAUUCUUGAAGAAAAUGGAAUGGUGAAUUGUAAACCAUUAGAUAAUCCCACAUAUCAAGAUAUUGGAGUUUGGCAGAAAGCUAAACUAAUCCAAGUAGAUAUUGGAGUUUGGCAGAAAGCUAAACUAAUCCAAUUGUAACAAGACCAACCAUCUUUUGUUGUAAGUGUGGUCAUUAGAAUGCAAAUGUCAUAAUUCUGAUAUUUCUUAGAGGAUCACUAGUAAAAGGAUUUAUUAGUGUUUUUGAACAGAGGGCAUAAGGAGAUUAUUACCUAUACUUAGUAGGAGAUCUACCUAUGGAUAUUGUGUUCUAUUUGGAGUGAAUCUCUUUCAUGGAAAACCUUAAGAAGCAAAAUAUGGUUGCAAGGUCCAGAGCUGAAGCAAAAUAUCAAGCUAUGACUCUCACUACUUAUGAACUAAUAUGUCUAAAAACAAAUAAAUGACUCAUUAAAGAGCUAAAAUUUUGUGAGGUUGGAAUUGAGACACAUUUGUGAUAAUCAAGCAGCCCUUCAUAUUACAUCUAACCCAGUUUUUUAUGAGCAUACCAAACAUAUAGAGAUCGAUUACCUUUUAUAUUUCUGAGAAGAUAGACUCCAGAUAAAUUAGGACAUAUUUUGUUAACUUCAAAUAAUCAAUUGGUUGAUCUGCUCACUAAUGCUCUUUAUGGACAAGGGAUUUCUUAUUUCUAGCCAAAACAAUAAAAUUAAAGGCAAGAAAAAAUUACCUCAAGACAAGGGAAAGAGGUUUUAAUGUCACUCACACCGGUCCAUGUUCAUAGCAUAUAGGAUCCUGCAUGUAAAACAAAUAAUUCUCUAAAAUGAAGUUAAGUAAACAACCACUUAAUUGAAAAGAUAUAUCCUGAAGGUAACUGUAACAGCUAGUGUUUGGUAUAUUGAGUUCAAUCAAGAAAUAUGCAAACCCCUAGUAGUGGAAUACCUGUUGGAGUAGUGAUCAAUGCCGGGAAAUUGAUGACGUCUAUCCCUUGGUCAUCGAACUUGUACUAGAGAUGGUAGUUGUCUGCAAAUAUCAAAAAGACUCGAUGUCAUGCUACAGAGGGAAAAUGGUGGAAGGUAUUAUACCAAUUUAUAGGGCAUAUGUCAACAAUUAUUGUUUGUCAAUAGAAAAUGAUGCUAAGGUUGACAAGAAUAUGAAAUAUACGGUGCAGAGUUUGGAGAACAAGAUUAGGUCUCUAUUUUAGCCGAAGCAGAGGAAAGGUAGUAGCAUUAAAUAGGCACACUUGAUUAGUAAAAUAAAAGAAGUCAGUCAUCAAUUUCGCUUGACUCUAGCUUCUCUAUAAUGCUUUUCCUUGUACUUGCAAUUACAGACUUGACUGUAGCUACUCUAUAAUGCUUUUCGCUUGACUCUAGUUGCUCUAUAAUGUUUGGAGAACAACUACUACUACUAACAAUUACAGACCUGACUCUAUUGAAUCUGUAUUGAUGACUUUGCCUUCAAUUUCAUCAAGUAUAGUCAGUGCCUGAAUGAAGAAACAGGUAGUUCUAUCUAGCUCUGUACUUGGUCUUAAGAUUCCAAAGCUAAGUAAACAUUAAUUCUUGUGCAAAACUAAACAAUAUCCAGUCAGUCAAAUGGGAUGUUUCCCUUAGUACUAUGGCAAAGGGUUUGUUGUGUCCAGUGUUUUAUGCCAAACCCUUUGUAAAGUAAAUAUGAGGUUAAUUGCAUAAAAAAGUGAAAUAAAGCUCAGAGUAGGCAAUCCUAUCUUAAAUCUUACCCUUUCCUUGAUGUCACCCAAAGUCGGCAAGUACAGCUUAUAGAAUUCCUCUCUGAAUGCAACCACAAACCUAAAUAAACUUUAGAAACCACCAAGAAUAAGACAAUUAGGAUUCGUUUGAUUUGUAUAAAUUUAAGGGACAACACAACAAAAUAUUACAUAUGCAUACAUUCAAACUUUAUUGACUCACUAAUCUUAUAUUUCCUCAAUGUGGGUGUUAGACAGAAACCAAACUAGGAUACAUCUACUAUUUUUUUCUUUUAUAUAUGUGAGGGAUUCGAAGAGUGUCAAGAUACCUAUACUACAUUAUAGUAUUUUCACUUUUAAAGGACUAAAGACGAGUAAUUGACCAUUAUCAUGUAUAGGGAUAACAACAUUUUAGGCCUUCACUGUGUUUUGUUCGAAAUCCUGGGGUCUAUAAAAACCCUCAACUAAUUAUAGGAAAAAAAACUAUUCAUAUGGAACUAAUUUAUUUUCAAAGUUUUGGACUAUACAAAUUUGACACAAACAUUCGAAGAAUCGAUAAGUUGUCAUGAUUGAGAGUGAAUGGAAACCAUAUUCCUUAUGCACACAAUGUUGUUGUAGUGACGUACCUCAAUCACGACAGAGACAAACUCGUUUAUGGUAGUUGUGGCUUCAACGACAGUCACAGGGUCAGGAAGAAGGAGAAAGGAGAAAGGAGAAAAGGGUUUGAGCGCGCGGGGGCCAAAAUGAAUUUGUGUUUUAAUUUAUGAAAAGAACAACAUCAAUUUUUUUAACAUAACUAAUGUUAACAUGAAGUACUUAAGAUCGGUUUUUUAAAACCCGAUGUUAACCUCAAGUACUUAACAUCGACUUUAUAAUGAUCGAUGUUAACCUCAUAUAGUUAACAUCGAGUUUUAAAAAACCGAUGUUAAUUAUAUGAGAUUAACAUCGGUUUUUGUCAAAACCGAUGUUAACUACUUGAUAUUAACAUCGGUUAUUUAAAUUUAAAUAAUCGAUGUUAAUCUCAAGUAGUUAACAUUGAUUUUGACAAAACCGAUAUUAACUAACUCGAUUUAUUUACGAAAAUAUCACCGUACUUUUCUUAACAUCGAGUUUCUAAAAAAUCAAUGUUAAUCGUGCGAUGUUAAAUCUAUAUUUUAUAAUAGUAAUAAUAUAUAUAUAUAUAUAUAUAUAUAUAUAUAUAUAUAUACGAGUAUUACACUCUUAAUCAAUCAAUUUUUGCGAUCCUCACACAAUAAAAGUUCUCUCUUCCACACUUUCUCCCUCUAUCGCUUGCACCUAUUGCUCAGAUACCUUUAUCGAAUAUGCAUGCAUGUAGUUAACCUUUCAUUGUAAAUCUUUACGUUACUUACACAUUUUCACUCCAUGAUAUAUACUACAAUGGCGUGUCAUGCUAUAUUAUUUGAAGAUUACCAACCAUAAAAGAAAAGAAACACCUAAAAUGGAAGGCUCAUUCAAUGGCAGGGAGCCAUGAAUAAUCUCAGCAACUAUAACGGUGUUAAACGCGAUCUCUAAACACACCUCCAACCACUAAUAAUAAUCACUGACCAAAUCUGAAAUCUCGGAGUGCAUUUCAAAAAAGAAAGUAAUGACCAAUAGAGCCAUGAAUGUACAAUUAGUCCCAAGCUAGGUAUUAUAAAUAAUGAGAGUAUGUGACAAGACUAACUCAGGCCUCCAAAUAUUUUCCUUUUUAGCUUUGAUUAGAGUGGCCUAGUUGUUGUUUUUCUCAAUGAGAAGGGCUUCCACUAUGCAUUGCGCACUUUGGCGCUUCUGUGUUCCCUUGUUGCUACUUGCUAGCUUCAGUUAUGCACCUUUUGUUUUGGCGACAACUGAAAUUUCAGGUCUGUGGCUCAUCCUAUUACUCACACAUUCAUUUUGUUAUACAUUAGUUUAUGAAAUAUGAUGUUUCUUUGUGUUAGUCCUUAAUAAAAAAAAAUUAUUCAUUUUAAUAUUUACAUUUAACAAAACAGUAUAAUCUCUAAUCUAAGGACUAAAAAAGAUUAAAUUUAAAUAUGGGUUAAUUUUAAAAAAAGUGUGGUAAUACCAAAAAGUAUAUAUAAGUGGCCGUAGUAGUUAGUACCUAUAUAUGAUCAGGUGUAGAAGAUUAGAUCCAUAUACUUGUCAUGCAUAUAAUUAGAAAUGAAAAUUUGUAUUAUUCAUGAAGUACUGUACGAAUUUCGCUGGCCUUCGUUUCAAGUAAAAAUUAAGAUCGACCCUUCAUACACAAGAUUCAGCCAAUGAAGGGUGCUAUUAAUUACUCUGACAGAUUUUAUUGUCUUCUGAAUUCAAUUCAAUCAUUUAUCUUGGCAUGCAGUAUAUGCGUGUGGAAUUAACUUGUGGUCUUCAGCGUGGCUCCCAUACAUAGACCAUGCAUAGUCCCCACAAAAAUAUUUUUGAAAAGAACUAUGGGGAUCCAGUACCUACCUGGUAGCUAGUUUUGGUCAUUAUAUAGCUAUUAUGAUUGGCGAUGAAUUUUUCAUUUUAUUUUUAUAUAUUUUUCUCUAUCAACACUUGAAAAAUAUCAAAUUUACUGGGUAUUACAAAAAUAUUUACUGUGUUUAACUUAUAUUUUCUUGUUUCUUAUUAUGUAGGGAAUGAAGUGAGCACUGAUGGAAAGGUUUUAAAUGAAGAGUUAGCAAAACCUAAUCUACAAGGACAUGAUGAAGAAGCAAAGUUUAAAGGAUUUAUUCCAAAGCCAAUUCCCAUAGUGAAGCCUAUUCCAAAACCAUUUCCCAUCAUUAAGCCUAUUCCAAAGAUAAUUCCUAUUGCUAAACCUAUUCCUAUUCCGAUUUAUAAGCCUAUAUCAAAAUCAAUUCCCAUUAUUAAGCCUGUUCCAAAGAUAAUCCCCAUUAUUAAACCAAUUCCAAUUAUUAAACCUGUACCAAAACCAAUUCCCAUUAUUAAGCCUGUCCCAAAACCAUUUAUAGUGAAAAAGCCUAUCCCUGUUGAGUCGGAGGAAUUUCUAAAACCAAAGCCUUUCUUCAAAAAGCCUAUUCCUAAACUACCACUUCACCCUAAAUUCAAGAAACCAAUUCUACCACCAUUGCCAAUUCACAAGCCAAUUCCAACUCCAUAAGAGGAUAAUACUCUAUAUCUCGAGCUAUAUAGUUAUCCGUUCCAUUUCUAAUGCCUUUAUAAGUAAAGCUGCAUCGUAUCUCAAUUAAAUUUCGUACUCUUCUCGUAUACUGUAAUGGAAAAUAAGUAGUUGAUGCUCUCUGUUCAAUGAAGUUCUCGGUGUUAUCAUGUGUAGAUCGAUUAUAUUAAUGCAAGAGAUUGUAUAUGCAGUUAUUACUUAUUAUUUAAAUAAUGUUUUUUAAUAGUUUUUCAGUUUUAUAUUUUAUGAAUAUAUACUUAAUUGUGAGAGAGAGUGGGGCUCAUCGAUAAAUGUAGCAAUUUCUGCGAGAGAUAUAUCUUAACAAUUACAUUUAUCAUGAAUAAUAUUACGACAAGUAAAUCACUAAAUUAGUUCUUAAAAUUUUAUAGUUCAAAUCAAACAUUUCAUUUAGUAAGAUUUUAAAAGCCCUCUGUUAGUCCUUCAGUUUAUAAUAAAAGCAAAAGAAAAUUCCUCUUCUGUAAUAUUUUAUCAUUAUAUCAUUUUGCACUAAAAAGAACUAAAGUGAAAAAAAUUUGCAAGAAAAUAAAAUCAGUAAAAUUUUUUUUUGUCAAAUUAGGGGAUUGACAAAAUUAAUUAAUUUAUAAGAUCAAAUAAAACUUACACAAAUAUUACUAAAAAGAAAAAAAAACAUCAAUUCAUAGUUUCCUGACAAUAAAUAUAUGUGUAUUUGUUUAUUUUGUACUCUUUUGUUUGUUAAAAGAAUUUAAUAGUAAAGUCUAAUUCAAACUUAUAAAACUAGGUUAAAUAUUUAUUAAUUCAUUAAACUUUAAAUUAAAUUUAAAACAAAACCGUCAACCACGUACAUGAGAUAAACUCUUAGGUAUCAUCUGUCGAAAUAAAUGGUGAUGUUUGAUAAUCUUUUUCAUUGUGCCUUUAAUGGCCCUAUCUAUUUUAGCUACAGUAGUUUAUCAAAUUUUCACCUCAUCAUUUUCGGCAUCUUUAGAGAUAAUUAUAAAAUUUUGCUUCUAAACAUUUGACAUUAAGUCAUUAAUUAUAACAAUUGAUAAAGCGUCAUAUGUACCACUCAUGUAUUCCUAUUCAGUUUGUUGUUUUUCACGUCAAAUGCUAUCAACUAUCAAGUAUGAUCUAGUCAACAUUAUGGGAUGAGACAAUCACUUCAAGCUGUCUUUGUCUUGAAUUGGGUUGCUUAAUUUGGGCCAUGUCAUUUUCUUGUUUGGUUCUUGAAAGGGAAUUACUUUGGGCACCCUACAGUUUUGCUGGGACACCCAGCACCCUAGGUGAAAGGGCCAAAAUGCCCUUCACCCUAUUAAUAUAAAUAGGGCUACAUUAAUUCUUUCGUCCUGUGCUUCUUCGUGCUACAGUAAUUCUGCCGUUCCGCCACAAUGCUUCUUCCUUCGUGCUGCGCUUCUUUCUCCUCGUGGUGGUCUCCUUCAUUCUCCUUCUACUUCUUCAUGUUGCGGUUCUUCUUCUUCAUGGUUGUGGUUCUUCUUUUUCCUCUUUCUCCACUUCCCGUGCGGCUAUGGUUUUUCUUCUUUCCUUCUUCUUCCUCCACUUCCCGCGCCCCUGUUCUUCUUCUUCCUCUCCAACAAAAAAAUGACAUUUUUCUAGGAAAACCCCAUAUGGAUAUGGUUCAUAUAGAUUGCUAAUUUGUAUGAGUUUUUUUUUUUUUUUUGUUGAAUAAUUUUGUUUCAAUUUUUCUUCUUCUAAAUUUGUUUUUUUUUAAUUUUUGAUUUUUGAAUUAUUAUUUAAAUUAUUUCGUAGUAUAAUGUUAUUUUGUAAUGUUAGUGAAAUUUUAUAAUUUUUUCUGAUUUAUAUGUUAAGUACUGAUUUUAUUUAUAAAAAAUAUAUUAGUUAUUACUAAGAUUAGAUUAGAUUGCUAAAAUUAAGAUUAGAUUGGUGAAACAAUUAAUUUUUAAUAUUGUUAUAUUAUAUUUGUCUAACUUUUAAAAAAAAUAAAACAAAUAUUUAAAAGAUAUUGAAUUUGUUACUUAUGAAAAAUAUUGAAAUCAUAAUUAAAAAUAAUUUAAAUUUUUUAGUUACAACAAACAUUUAAACAAAUUUUUUAAUAAUUUAAAUUUGUUAUAAAAAUAUUGAAACAUAAUUUUUAAUUGUACAAUAAAUCUGUUAGUUAUAAAAAUUAUGAAACCAAAAUUUAAAAUAUGAUAAGAUUUUUAGUUUAAGAUAAUGAUUGAAAUCAAAUAUGAAAAAAUAUUUGAUUUAGUAGUUAUAAAAAAUAUUGAAACCAAAAUUUAAAAUAUGAUAAGAUUGUUAGUUUAAGAUAAUGAUUGAAAUCAAAUUUAAAAAUAUAUUUGAUUUAGUAGUUAUAAAAAAUAUUGAAACCAAAAUUUAAAAUAUGAUGAGAUUGUUAGUUUAAGAUAAUGAUUGAAAUCAAAUUUAAAAAUAUAUUAAAUUUGUUAGUUAUAAGAAAUAUGAAAACCAAAAUUUAAAAUAUAAUAAGAUUGUUAGUUUAAGGUAAAAUUAAAUUUAAAAUAAUAUUUGAUUUUGUAGUUAUAAAAAAUAUUGAAAUUAAAAGUUAAAAUGUGAAAUAUGAUAAGAUUGAUAGUUUAAGAUAAUGAUUGAAAUCAAAUUUAAAAAUAUAUUAAAUUUGUUAGUGAUAAGAAAUAUGUAAACCAAAAUUUAAGAUAUGAUAAGAUUGUUAGUUUAAGGUAAUGAUUAAAAUUAAAUUUAAAAAUAUAUUUGAUUUUGUAGUUAUAAAAAAUAUUGAAACCAAAAUUUAAAAUAUGAUAAUAUUGUUAGUAUAAGAUAAUGAUUGAAAUCAAAUUUAAAAAUAUAUUAAAUUUGGUAGUUAUAAAAAAUAUUGAAACCAAAAUUUAAGAUUUAAAAUUUAUUUAUUAAUCCCUAUUAUUUAAUUUUUUCAAAAUUAUUUUUGUAGAAAUUUUUUAUUCAUUUAUUUUAUUUACAAAAUUUGAUAAUUAAAAAAAUCUGAUAUUUAAUUGAAUGAUGUAUUUAGAUUUUUAUUAUAAUGAUUAAAAAUUAAAUAAAUAUGAUAUUUAAUUGAAUGAUGUAUUUAGAUGUUUUUUUAUAGCAAUUGAUAAUGAAAUAAAUUUGAUAUUUUUUACAUCUGUAAAUACUUAUUAAACCUAUCAUUUUUAUUUAUAAUUUAUAUAUGUAAAAAAAUUAAUUAUUAUAUAAAAAUAAUCAUUACAAAAUUUAUUAUGUAAAUUUAAAUAUACAUUAAAUAUAAAUUAAAAAUUUUAGUAUUAUAUAUAACGACACUAUUUACUUAUAGCAUAAUAUGUCUAUUAGUUCAGUUGGUUUGAUUGUUAUAUUGAACCCUCUCUAUCAUACCUUUGGGAAAGUUAUUCUACUUACAAAAUGGAUCGUCAAUUCUAGAAGAAAGCAUAAAUACCUCCUCUCUAAUAUUUACCAACUUGAUCAUUAAGAACAAAGGCUCAAGACUCUUCAAUGUACUCUAAGCUUCUUUUUUUCUUUUUUUGCUAUGUAAAGACAACUUAUAUCAAUUACAAAAGUUAACUAGUAAUGAGCUAAAAAAAAAACAAAACUCUUCCCAACGUUGUAUUUUGUAAACGAAGAAAAUAAAUUAAAAUAUGCCAUGAUAAAGAAAAAGUUGCUGUCAAUAAUAUAAUAGAAGAUAGGAUAUCAUCAUCGUAAUUAUUGUAAAGUAGUGGUAUUUCUAAUGUUAUUUCUUAGUAUAUAAAGCUCAUCCAUUCAUGAAACCAUUUAUGUAUUUCAAGUAAUAUUUUCAAAUUCAGAUAAACAAUUAACUAAACUUUCUCCAAACUUACUCACCAAAUUAGUAUCAUUGUGUAUUGUUAAAUUUAUUAUACUACAUAAAUUUUUCAUCAUAUCCAAAUUAAUUUUUUAAUUGUUAUUAAAGAACUUUCUAAUUAUUAAAAACUAUGUAAGGACACAUUUUUGUAACAGAUCUACUUAGCAUUUUUUGAAGUUGUUUGAUUAUGUUAUUACUUCACCCUUAAUUUUCGAUUCUUUGGUUUUCAUGAAGGUAUGCAUUGCAGAAUGGAGGUGCAGUGGAAUUUUCACUUGAAUUUUUUUUACUGAAAAUGUUCACACAAUCGAAGACCCAUAAUUGCAUUUUUUAUUAUUUAAAUUCUCGAUCUCUCUUUAGCUUUAAAUUAAGGGUAAAUUUUCAUUAGUUAAAUAUAAUGUCAAAUAAGGAUAUCUAAACUUUUAUUUGCAAUGAGUUUCUUCAAUUUUACGUGAUGGGAUUGUUUGCAUUUAUUUUAAUUGUUAUGUUUUGUCUAUUUUGAAGUUCUUUAUUGGCAAUGUAGGACAAAUCUUUUCUUAUGUCUUGGAUUAUGUGUUAGACAGUAAGCAAAAUCUCAUCAUCAUCUCCAUUUAUUGCAAGUAUAUAUGCUUGCAAUAGCAUUAUGCUAUGUUAGAUGAUUAAAAGAGAUGUAUUCUAUAUAUCAAUUUUUAAAUCACUAAUAUAAAUAUGUUCAGAAGAGAUAUUUUUAUUUUAAAUAUAAGAAUAUUUUUGGAUUUAUUUUUUGGGGUCUUCAAAUGUGUGAUGUUACAUUUGGCCAUAGGAGAUAUAUAUGGAUUGAUGUGCUCCAAAUGGAUGAAGUCAUACAAGAAACACCUUUCUCUAAUCAUUCUCUUUAGAUCAUCUAUCAAAAUUAUUCGUUCCACUUUGAUUUUAACUUAGAGAUGUUGCUCCAAGUCAGCAUUUUCCUUUUCUCUUCAGAAUUAGCUCCGAAUCAAGUUCUUGUUGCAAGACUAUUUUUCAUCAAUUAAAACUAAAUAUUCCCAGCCUGCCAAGAAUGCCUUCAAGCUAUAUGUUAGAAAUUAGAAGUGUUAUUUCUCAUCUAAUUAAUACAACACAUCUCACAUAGUUUUAUGAACUUUUAGAAUGUUGGGAUUCAAUCAAUCAAUCUAAUUUGAUUCUAACAGGCAAUCAUCAAACUUAAUCACAUGUUUUCUCUUCAUGUAAAGAGAAAUUACUGUAUAAAGAUGAAUAGAACCCCUCUGUGUUCUCAUACUCAAAAUCUUGAUGAAAACUAAGCUGUGGAAGUGUACCUGGAUUAACCAUAGUGGAAUGAUGAUGAAAAGUUGAUCAGAAGAUUGAUUUUAUGACCUUCCAAAUGUAGAGAGUCUUUUUUUUUUUUUUUUCUUCUUCUCUUAAAGUUUUAUCUUUAUGAAGUGUACAUGUUGGUUUGACUUAAGUUGCUUUCUACAAAUGGGGACCAUAACCCCUUAAGCCCCUUAUCAAAUUAACAAUAUCACUAGUAUCUACACAAUUAACCUUUCAUGAUAUCCCCUAGCCAUAUUUUUAUAUUGAUUAGACCAUUUUAAUAUUUUGGCUAAUUAUAUAAUGACCCUAACUCAUCAAAUUAUGUGAUAUAAACCCAAAAUUGCUACUAUAAAAAACUUCUAAUUUUUAAUUUAAAGCAUAAAAGUCUGAAAUAUUUACGUUGUCACCUAAGACAAAAAAUUCAUAGACUACGUUUUGGCCUAACUUAUUUAGAAGAUGAUCAAAAGUACAAAAUGAAAAUUAUUACACUGUCAAGUAUUUCAGUCUUAUAAAGUUACUUUUAUGUUUGAUAUAAAUACUUUCUUGUGACAAAAAUAAUAUUUGUUUUAAUAAUCAUGUCGUGAGUUUGCUUCUGUUUUGUAGAUUAUAUUCCCUUUUAAAAGUACUGAAACAAGAUUGAGCAAAGGUGUUCCCACUGAAAGUUGCCCUACAUUUUAUCAUAUAAGCAGUCUUUCAGAGGUGGAAACUUUUUGUUUGUAAAAACAUUUGAUAUUUGAAUACAGACUCAGACUCAUAGGUACAAGAUUAUUCUAAUUAUGCAAUUAUGUAUAUAUAUAUAUAUAUAUAUAUAUAUAUAUAUAUAUAUAUAUAUAUAUAUAUAUAUAUAUAUAUAUAUAUAUUACCAAAAGAAAUCUCUCUCUCUUGGUUAUUUAAAGAUAUCCAUAAAUUUUAAAAUGUUGUUGAUAAACUAAGAGGGUCAAUAAUUGAGUGCCUACAAGAAGAACAUAAAGACAUUUUUAUUUAACUUGAGGUCCAAUUCCUAUUAUUUUCAUGAAGAAAUAAUUCUUCACCUACAGAUCAAAUUCAUGAUUUGACAGAGGGAUCUCAAGAUGACAAAGCCUUCUCCAGCCUUGUUCUUUUGUUGGUGCAAUUGUCUUUUAUUGGACAAACUGUCAUCCCAAAAACCAUCAAGGAGAAGAUCCUUAGCUAUCUAAUAUAUUACUUUAAAUUAAUUUUUUCUAUUUGUUAUUUACUUUAAAUUUUAUUUGCAAAUUGUGGUAUAUUUUAGUCAAAAGGUGAUUAUUUCCUUUAAAUUCACAGAAAAAGUCAUACAAAUUUUGUAUAUUUUAUGAGUAUUAUAUUUUGUUUUGAAAGAAAAACUUAAUAUAUCCUGUAGAUUUUUAACAAAAAUAAUUUACAAAUAGGUUCUCUAACAUUUUGUAUUCACCGAAAGUAUAAAAGUCAUAAAAAAACCAUGAAAAGUCUUAUUAAUAAAGUGGAAAAAUCUAUUAUAAUAUCAUAAAAAGGUAAUUAAUAAAAUAAUAAUUAACAUUUAAAUUAUAUAAUUAAGAGUUUAAUGCACAUUCGCAUAUAUACUGUCAAUUUAACAUUUGUGUUAUUAUUGCUAUGGUGAUUUGUUAUUAAAUCAUUAUAUAAAAUACGUUACACUUGUAAUGUAUAACUUAUUUUCUUUUUAAUUAAAUAUUGAAAAUUAUGCAUAAAAAUGAUACCAUUAAAACUAGUAUAUUUAAUUUAUAUCUUAUAAUUUUAAAUAUUUUGGCAAGCUAUGCUAUUGGUGGUUAGUGUUUAUUUAUGGUUAAUUCGAUAACUUCUUCAUCGGUGACCCCAAUAAUAUAUAUAUAUAUAUAUAUAUAUAUAUAUAUAUAUAUAUAUAUAUAUAUAUAUCAGUCAUUAUUGAUUAUACCAUCAGUAUAACACUCUUAAUCAAUCAAUUUCUGCGAUCCUCACACAGUAAAAGUUCUCUCUCGCUUGCACCUAUUGCUCAGAUACCUUUAUCGAAUAUGCAUGCAUAUAGUUAACCUUUCAUUGUAAAUCUUUACGUUACUUACACAGUUACACUCCAUGAUAUAUACUACAAUGGCGUGUCAUGCUAUAUUAUUUGAAGAUUACCAACCAUAAAAGAAAAGAAACACCUAAAAUAGAAGGCUCAUUCAAUGGAAGGGAGCCAUGAAUAAUCUCAGCAACUAUAACGGUGUUAAACGCGAUCUCUCUAAACACACCUCCAACCACUCCCAAUAAUAAUAAUCACUGACCAAAUCUGAAAUCUCGGAGUGCAUUUCAAAAAGAAAGUAAUGACCAGUAGAGCCAUGAACGUACAAUUAGUUCCAAGCUAGGUAUUAUAAAUAAUGAGAGUAUGUGACAAGAGUAAUUCAAGCCUUCAAAUAUUUUCCUUUUUAGCUUUGAUUAGAGUGGCCUAGUUGUUGUUUUUCUCAAUGAGAAGGGUUUCCACUAUGCAUUGCGCACUUUGGCGCUUCUGUGUUCCCUUGUUGCUACUUGCUAGCUUCAGUUAUGCUCCUUUUGUUUUGGCCACUGAAAUUUCAGGUUUGUCGCUCAUCCUAUUACUCACACAUAUUCAUUUUGUUAUACAUUAUUUUAUGAAAUAUGAUGUUUCUUUGUGUUAGUCCUUAAUAAAAUAAAUUAUUCAUUUUAAUAUUUACAUUUGCCAAAACAGUAUAAUUUCUAAUCUAAGGACUUAAAAAGAUUAAAUUUAAAUAUGGGUUAAUUUUAAAAAAAAGUGUGGUAAUAUAUACCAAAAAGUAUAUACAAGUGGCCGUAGUAGUUAGUACCUAGAUAUGAUCAGGUGUAGAAGAUUAGAAUGAAAAUUUGUAUUAUUCAUGAAGUACUGUACGAAUGUCGCUGGCCUACGUUUCAAGUAAAAAUUAAGAUCUACCCUUCAUACACAAGAUUCAGCCAACGAAGGGUGCUUUUAAUUACUCUGACAGAUUUUAUUGCAUGUCUUCCGAAUUCAAUUCAAUCAUUUAUCUUGGCAUGCAGUAUAUGCGUGUGGAAUUAACUUGUGGUCUAUUGUUGAGCGUGGCUCCCAUACAUAGACCAUGCAUACUCCCCACAAAAAUAUGUUGAAAAGAACUAUGGGGAUCCAUGCCAGUACCUACCUGGUACCUAGUUUUCUUCAUUAUAUAGCUAUUAUGAUUGGCGAUGAAUUUUUCAAUAUAUUUAAUUUUGUAUUUAUAUAUUUUUUUCUCUAUCAACACUUGAAAAAUAUCAAAUUUACUGGGUAUUACAAAAGUAUUUACCGUGUUUAACUUAUAUUUUCUUGUUUCUUAUUAUGUAGGGAAUGAAGUGAGCACUGAUGGAAAGGUUUUAAAUGAAGAGUUAGCAAAACCUAAUCUACAAGGACAUGAUGAAGAAGCAAAGUUUAAAGGAUUUAUUCCAAAGCCAAUUCCCAUAGUGAAGCCUAUUCCAAAACCAUUUCCCAUCAUUAAGCCUAUUCCAAAGAUAAUUCCUAUCGCCAAACCUAUUCCUAUUCCGAUUUAUAAGCCUAUAUCAAAAUCAAUUCCCAUUAUUAAGCCUGUUCCAAAGAUAAUUCCCAUUAUUAAACCAAUUCCAAUUAUUAAACCUGUACCAAAACCAAUUCCCAUUAUUAAGCCUGUCCCAAAACCAUUUAUAGUGAAAAAGCCUAUCCCUGUUGAGUCGGAGGAAUUUCUAAAACCAAAGCCUUUCUUCAAAAAGCCUAUUCCUAAACUACCACUUCACCCUAAAUUCAAGAAACCAAUUCUACCAUCAUUGCCAAUUCACAAGCCAAUUCCAACUCCAUAAGAGGAUAUAUAAUACUUUAUAUCUCGAACUAUAAAGUUAUCCGUUCCAUUUCUAAUGCCUUUAUAAGUAAAGCUACAUCGUAUCUCAAUUAAAUUUCAUACUCC